rnacentral:rRNA from 1 species
UACGGGGGGGGCAAGCGUUGUUCGGAAUUAUUGGGCGUAAAGAGCUCGUAGGCGGCUUGUCACGUCGGAUGUGAAAGCCCGGGGCUUAACUCCGGGUCUGCAUUCGAUACGGGCUAGCUAGAGUGUGGUAGGGGAGAUCGGAAUUCCUGGUGUAGCGGUGAAAUGCGCAGAUAUCAGGAGGAACACCGGUGGCGAAGGCGGAUCUCUGGGCCAUUACUGACGCUGAGGAGCGAAAGCGUGGGGAGCGAACAGG